rnacentral:lncRNA from 1 species
GAAUAUCUUGUCUAAUUUAAGAAUUUUGGUGAAGAGAUUUGGGGGUUUUUCCACAGUAAGUCCUAAAGAAUGGCUCUCUUUGGCACCUGGUGUCAAGGCAUUAUUUAGACGUUGUAGCCAAGUGCUUCACAAGCUUUAAAGUGCACAUGAAUCUUGUUAACAUGCAGAUCUGGUUCAGUGGGUCUGGGGUGGGACCUCAGAGUCUGCAUUCCUAACAAGAUCCUGGGAGAUACCAAUGCUGCUCCUGCGCAAACCACGCUCACAGGGAAAGCAAGCAGCCAGCAAACAGCUCACUUGUGCUGUUUUGUCAAGAAUGGACCUCAGAGGUUGUGUUUGAGAAGCUUGGCACACUGGUUACACAGGCGUGAGUGCCAGGUGGGUUCUCCUGGCAUCCAACACAGCUUCGGAGAAGCACAAGCGGGAAGCAAGGGACCCGUGAUGCAGGCCUGCAGCGAAGCCCUGGCCAGCCUGCCUCUCCACGGAGCUGGUUGAAGUCUGCAGAGAACUGGGCACCGCAGCUGUGCGUGGCACGAGAGGACAGUCUGAGAAGACCUGAAGUGAUGUACAAGAGGUGUUCAAUACAUGGUGCGUGUCACACUGUAAGAGCUCAAUAAAUAUUUGUUCACUGAAAAGACCCCAGGUGACUGGAUCACGGAACUGAAGAGUUGGAGGAGGCCGUGGAAAUCAGCUCAUCCAGCCUCCCACCUGGUGUAGGUUUUCCUUCUGAAGGAGCCAGGCAGAUGCUUCCCGAAAAGGGGAGCUCACCCACUGCUUGUAGGGAGUCCUUUUUGUGUGUAGGGACUUCUACCUCUGGGAUGUUUCCCUCACAUGGACAGAAAUCUAUCUCCCUGGACAUUCUACCAUCAGUUCCAGUUCAGCCCCCAACAACAUAACACAGCCACUUCCUUUGCCAAAUAGCACCUGGAAAUGAGGUUUGCACGUGAAGGCAGCAUUUAAACAGGAAGCUGAGAGUCUUUAGUUCAGUGUCCUCCAACUUAAGUCUGGGUUGGCCAGCAUGGCCUGAGACUGGGUUUAACGCUACCCUACUUCACCCCACCCCAGGCACAGGUUCCCACAACCUGAGCAGCGCCUGUCCUGUUAGGGAGGGAGGCGAUUCACAUCCAACUGGGAGGAGCGGCCUUAUACGCUUAGAAAAGCAACUCUGUCAAAAUUGACACCUUCUGUCAUCCUCCCAUGUCGAGCACCCUGUCCUAGGAUGGUCACCCCUGAGCAUCCUUCCUGAGUGGUACAUUCUUGAGAAACUGAACCAUGGCCAGAGGCAGCCAACCCAGCGCCGUACCUUGGACUUCUGAAGAUAGUGACCAA